UAAUUAAAGCAAGCAAUUAAUUAAAGCAGGC
rnacentral:piRNA from 1 species